rnacentral:rRNA from 1 species
GCAGCAGUAGGGAAUCUUCCACAAUGGGCGAAAGCCUGAUGGAGCAACGCCGCGUGGGUGAAGAAGGUCUUCGGAUCGUAAAACCCUGUUGUUAGAGAAGAAAGUGCGUGAGAGUAACUGUUCACGUUUCGACGGUAUCUAACCAGAAAGCCACGGCUAACUACGUGCCAGCAGCCGCGGUAAUACGUAGGUGGCAAGCGUUAUCCGGAUUUAUUGGGCGUAAAGGGAACGCAGGCGGUCUUUUAAGUCUGAUGUGAAAGCCUUCGGCUUAACCGGAGUAGUGCAUUGGAAACUGGGAGACUUGAGUGCAGAAGAGGAGAGUGGAACUCCAUGUGUAGCGGUGAAAUGCGUAGAUAUAUGGAAGAACACCAGUGGCGAAAGCGGCUCUCUGGUCUGUAACUGACGCUGAGGUUCGAAAGCGUGGGUAGCAAACAGGAUUAGAUACCCUGGUAGUCCACGCCGUAAACGAUGAAUGCUAAGUGU